rnacentral:misc_RNA from 1 species
GAAAUGCGAUAAUUAAUGUGAAUUGCAGAAUUCAGUGAGUCAUCGAGUCUUUGAACGCACAUUGCGCCCCCUGGUAUUCCGGGGGGCAUGCCUGUCCGAGCGUCAUUGCUGCCCUCAAGCACGGCUUGUGUGUUGGGCUUCCGUCCCUGGCAACGGGGACGGGCCCAAAAGGCAGUGGCGGCACGAUGUCUGGUCCUCGAGCGUAUGGGGCUUUGUCACCCGCUCCCGUAGGUCCAGCUGGCAGCUAGCCUCGCAACCAAUCUUUUUAACCAGGUUGACCUCGGAUCAGGUAGGGAUACCCGCUGAACUUAAGC